rnacentral:rRNA from 1 species
AUUGAACGCUGGCGGCAUGCUUUACACAUGCAAGUCGAACGGCAGCGCGGGCUUCGGCCUGGCGGCGAGUGGCGAACGGGUGAGUAAUGCAUCGGAACGUGCCCAGUAGUGGGGGAUAGCCCGGCGAAAGCCGGAUUAAUACCGCAUACGACCUGAGGGUGAAAGCGGGGGACCGAAAGGCCUCGCGCUAUUGGAGCGGCCGAUGUCGGAUUAGCUAGUUGGUGGGGUAAAGGCUUACCAAGGCGACGAUCCGUAGCUGGUCUGAGAGGACGACCAGCCACACUGGGACUGAGGCACGGCCCAGACUCCUACGGGAAGCCGCAGUGGGGAAUUUUGGACAAUGGGGGCAACCCUGAUCCAGCCAUGCCGCGUGCGGGAAGAAGGCCUUCGGGUUGUAAACCGCUUUUGUUCGGGAAGAAAUCCUCUGGGCUAAUACCCCGGGGGGAUGACGGUACCGGAAGAAUAAGCACCGGCUAACUACGUG